rnacentral:rRNA from 1 species
GACGAACGCUGGCGGCGUGCCUAAUACAUGCAAGUCGAGCGCUGAAGGUUGGUACUUGUACCAACUGGGUGAGCAGCGAACGGGUGAGUCGCGCGUGGGGAAUCUGCCUUUGAGCGGGGGACCACAUAUGGAAACGCAUGCUAAUACCGCAUAAAAACUUUAAACACAAGUUUUAAGAUUGAAAGAUGGAAUUGCAUCACGCAAACGUGCUACCGCGUUGUAUUAGCUAGAUGGUGAGGUAAAGGCGCUCCAAGGCGAUGAUACAUAGCCGACCUGCGAGGGGGAGCGGCCAUAUUGGGAUGGAGACCCGCCCCAAACCCCUGCGGGAGGCAGCAGUCGGGAAUCUUCGGCAAUGGACGAAAGUUGGACCGAGCAACGCCGCGCGAGGGAAGAAGGUCUUCGGAUCGUUAAACUCUGUUGGGUGGUAAGAUCGUUGGUGAGAGUGGAAAGCUCAUCAAGUGACGGUAACUACCCAGAAAGGGACGGCUAACUACGUG